AAUGGAGGUCCCGCAGUGUCCUUUGUUUCUGCGAUUUUCAGAUAACGUCAAAACAAUUAUGCAAUUUCAACAAUUUGGACAUACAACAAAGGAUGUCUCUGUUAAGGAUAUCAUGGAGCAGUAUCUGUCCAUGAUGUCCUUAACAGGGACCCUAAAGGAGAAGGCAAGGAAAGUCUGAAUCUUAAAAUCCCGGUUUCAGCUUGCGACCGGGUUUAUAAAGCUUAUGGUAAUUACAAGCGCUUCUUCUUCUCUUCUCCCGCUGAUGUCGGCCAGGAAACAACCUCAGUGGUGCUGGAGCAAAAGUUUAGGACAUUUAAGAGGGAAACUCCGCACCGCUUCAGGGAAGUGACAAUUGACCUCUGUAAGAGAGCCGCUCUGUGGUUAGCACACAAGCUAACAGCUAGCGCUGCUAGCAAGCAGUUUGAUGUUAGCAGCGUUUAGCUAAUGUAGCUGCUAAAGCUGUCAUGAAAACAUCCAGUGGUUGACAAAGUAUUCAGAUUACUUAACUGCAGUUAAAGUUCUACUGUUACAGUAAAAGUUCUGCAAGUUAUGUUUCAUUUAUAAUAAACAUCAGAUUGUAUAAACAUGUGUUUUGUGUCCAGAAAUCUUAAUGUGUAAAGUAAAUAGUAACUAAAGCUGUCAGAUGAAUGCAGUGGAGUAAGAAUCAUUAGUAAAAA